GUUUAUAAUAGAAAACCAAAAACAUAUUUAUCCAUUCAUCAACUAAAUAAUAAUAGUAAAACAAAAUAUAUAUCGACUAUCUGCAUCUGUUAGACAUUUUAAAUUGUUACUGGGCUCUUUUCAAGACAUUCCUUACAUCAAACACAUCUAUAUAAUUGAAAAAUAUCAAAUUGUCUAGCAGCGUCUCUCUAAGUAGGUUAUCAAUGAGUUGCAAGAAGAUAGUCUUCCAACUAAAGAAAUCAUACUAUACUUACAAAUCAUUGAAUUUUUUUUAAUCAGAUAUAAUAUUUAUUAAAGGAUUAGAGGUGGGUUGCCUCCUCUAGGGAUCAG
rnacentral:misc_RNA from 1 species